AUUAAAGAGUUCUAUAACUCCCAAACCCAUGUGAACAUACCUAACGUUGCCUCGGCAGGUCGCACCUACCUUGUAGCACCCUACCCUGUAGGGCCUACCCGGGAGGUGCGGGUAAGCCUGCCGGCGGCCCACCAAACUCUGUUUGAUAUUGAAUUCUGAACCUAUAACUAAAUAAGUUAAAACUUUCAACAACGGAUCUCUUGGUUCUGGCAUCGAUGAAGAACGCAGCGAAAUGCGAUAAGUAAUGUGAAUUGCAGAAUUCAGUGAAUCAUCGAAUCUUUGAACGCAUAUUGCGCCCAUUAGUAUUCUAGUGGGCAGGACCGUUCGAGCGUCAUUUCAACCCUUAAGCCUUCGUUGCUUAGUGUUGGGAGCCUACGGCAACGUAGCUCCUCAAAGUUAGUGGCGGAGUUGGUUCACACUCUAGACGUAGUAAUUUUUUAUCUCGCCUAUUAGUUGGACUAAUCCCCUGCCGUAAAACCCCCAAUUUAUCAAGGUUGACCUCGAAUCGGUUCAGACAAACUCGCUAAAUUGAAGCAUCUUAGUCAGCGAAGGAAAAGAAACCAACAGGGAUUGCCCUAGUAACGGCGAGUGAAGCGGCAACAGCUCAAAUUUGAAAUCU
rnacentral:rRNA from 1 species